CCCCUAGUAACUGCGAGUGAAGCGGGAAAAGCUCAAAUUUUGAAUCUGGCGGUCUUCAUGGCUGUCCGAGUUGUAAUCUAGAGAAGCGUCUUCCGCGCUGGACCGUGUACAAGUCUCCUGGAAGGGAGCGUCAUGGAGGGUGAGAAUCCCGUCUCUGACACGGACUGCCAGUGCUAUGUGAUGCGCUCUCGACGAGUCGAGUUGUUUGGGAAUGCAGCUCAAAACGGGUGGUAAAUUCCAUCUAAAGCUAAAUACAGGCGAGAGACCGAUAGCGAACAAGUACCGUGAGGGAAAGAUGAAAAGAACUUUGGAAAGAGAGUUAAACAGUACGUGAAAUUGCUGAAAGGGAAACGCUUGAUGUCAGUCACGUCCGCCAGGGAUCAACCUUGCUUAUCGUUGGGUGCAUUUCUUGGUUGGAUGGGUCAGCAUCAGUUUCGAUCGUUGUAAAAUGGUCAAGGGAACGUGGCACCUCUAGGGGUGUGUUAUAGCCUUUGGUCGUAUGCAUCGGUGGGGACUGAGGAACUCGGCACGACCUUCAUGGUUUUGUGUCUAGGAUGCUGGCAUAAUGGCCUUAAGCGACCCGUCUUGAAACACGGACCAAGGAGUCUAACAUGCCUGCGAGUGUUUGGGUGGAAAACUCGAGCGCGCAAUGAAAGUGAAAGUCGAGAUCUCUGUCAUGGAGAGCAUCGAUGCCC
rnacentral:rRNA from 1 species